GAUGAACGCUGGCGGCGUGCCUAAUACAUGCAAGUCGAGCGAACAGACGAGGAGCUUGCUCCUCUGACGUUAGCGGCGGACGGGUGUGUAACACGCGGAUAACAUACCUAUUAGACUGGGAUAACUUCGGGAAACCGGAGUGAAUACCGGAUAAUCUAUUGAACCGCAUGGUUCAAUAGUGAAAGACGGUUUUGCUGUCACUUAUAGAUGGAUCCGCGCCGCAUUAGCUAGUUGGUAAGUUAACGGCUUACCAAGGCAACGAUGCGUAGCCGACCUGAAAGGGGGAUCGGCCACACGGGACCUGGGACACGGUCCAGACUCCUACGGAAGGCAGCAGUAGGGAAUCUUCCGCAAUGGGCGAAAGCCUGACGGGGCAACGCCGCGUAAGUGAUGAAGGUCUUCGGACCGUAAAACUCUGUUAUUAGGGAAGAACGAAUGUGUAAGUAAAUAUGCACGUCUUGACGGUACCUAAUCAGAAAGCCACGGCUAACUACGUG
rnacentral:rRNA from 1 species